rnacentral:rRNA from 1 species
UACGUAGGGUGCGAGCGUUAAUCGGAAUUACUGGGCGUAAAGCGUGCGCAGGCGGUGAUGUAAGACAGUUGUGAAAUCCCCGGGCUCAACCUGGGAAUUGCAUCUGUGACUGCAUCGCUAGAGUACGGUAGAGGGGGAUGGAAUUCCGCGUGUAGCAGUGAAAUGCGUAGAGAUGUGGAGGAACACCGAUGGCGAAGGCAGCCCCCCUGGGUCGACACUGACGCUCAUGCACGAAAGCGUGGGGAGCAAACAGG